AGCGAACGCUGGCGGCAGGCCUAACACAUGCAAGUCGAACGAACUCUUCGGAGUUAGUGGCGGACGGGUGAGUAACACGUGGGAACGUGCCUUUAGGUUCGGAAUAACUCAGGGAAACUUGUGCUAAUACCGAAUGUGCCCUUCGGGGGAAAGAUUUAUCGCCUUUAGAGCGGCCCGCGUCUGAUUAGCUAGUUGGUGAGGUAAAGGCUCACCAAGGCGACGAUCAGUAGCUUGUCUGAGAGGAUGAUCAGCCACAUUGGGACUGAGACACGGCCCAAACUCCUACGGGAGGCAGCAGUGGGGAAUCUUGCGCAAUGGGCGAAAGCCUGACGCAGCCAUGCCGCGUGAAUGAUGAAGGUCUUAGGAUUGUAAAAUUCUUUCACCGGGGACGAUAAUGACGGUACCCGGAGAAGAAGCCCCGGCUAACUUCGUG
rnacentral:rRNA from 1 species